CAAGUACCUGCCAAACGCUGUUGUGGAAACCUCUUUCCUGGGAAAACAAAGGUCAUGACAUUUUGAGCACAAUCAAGUGUGGGAUGCAUUCAUCAAUAGAGCUGGAAGCACCAACCACCAUAGGAGAUUCGCCAUAUAAAUGAGUUUUUCAUCCUGUCUGCAUCACCCCAAACCCACUGUCACUAAUCAUCUUCCCAUCAUUCAAGCACCUGUGAAUGCUCACUAAGAUGUACCAACAGGAAGACCACGACUUCAAGUCUUCAACCAGUCCCUGAAAACAUCAGAUCAAGUCACAGAUACACAUAGAGGGAAGGCCACGUGAAGACAAACCCAUAGGUGGUGAAGAUGGCCACCUAUCAGCCAAGGAGAAAGGCCUCCAAGGAAACCACA